rnacentral:rRNA from 1 species
GUCUACUGCCAUGCCAGCCUAAACACACCCGAUCUCGUCUGAUCUCAAAAGCUAAGCAGGGUUGGGCCUGGUUAGUACUUGGAUGGGAGUACUACCUAGGAAUACCAGGUAGGCUUUAAAAA